CACGUAGGGGGCGAGCGUUUGUCCGGAAUCAUUGGGCGUAAAGAGCUCGUAGGCGGCUCAGUAAGUCGGGUGUGAAACUCCCAGGCUCAACCUGGGGACGCCACCCGAUACUGCUGUGGCUAGAGUCCAGUAGGGGAGUGUGGAAUUCCCGGUGUAGCGGUGAAAUGCGCAGAUAUCGGGAGGAACACCAGCGGCGAAGGCGGCACUCUGGGCUGGAACUGACGCUGAGGAGCGAAAGCGUGGGUAGUAAACAGG
rnacentral:rRNA from 1 species